CUCCUGGAAACGGGUGGUAAUGCCGGAUGCUCCGCCCCCUCGCAUGGGGGGUCGGGAAGGCUUUUGCGGAAUGGGAUGGGGUCGCGUCCUAUCAGCUUGUUGGCGGGGCGACGGCCCACCAAGGCUUCGACGGGUAGCCGGCCUGAGAGGGCGACCGGCCACAUUGGGACUGAGAUACGGCCCAGACUCCUACGGGAGGCAGCAGCGGGGAAUAUUGCACAAUGGGGGGAACCCUGAUGCAGCGACGCCGCGUGCGGGAUGGGGGCCUUCGGGUCGUGAACCGCUUUUGAUUGGGAGCAAGCGUGAGUGAGUGUACCUUUCGAAUAAGCACCGGCUAACUACGUGCCAGCAGCCGCGGUAAUACGUAGGGUGCAAGCGUUGUCCGGAAUCAUUGGGCGUAAAGGGCUCGUAGGCGGUUCGUCGCGUCCGGUGUGAAAGCCCAUCGCUUAACGGUGGGUCUGCGCCGGGUACGGGCGGGCUUGAGUGCGGCAGGGGAGGCUGGAAUUCCCGGUGUAACGGUGGAAUGUGUAGAUAUCGGGAAGAACACC
rnacentral:rRNA from 1 species